GCAUAUGGAUAGCUGAGAAUUUACAGUGAUAUUGCUUUUUGAUUCUUUGAUAUCAGCUCUUCUUAUCAUACUAAUCAGAAUUACAGUAAGUGUUGAAUAGUUCACUUGUCAACAGAGAAUAUGAGCUGAAUUAGGUUUAUGUGAGAUAGAUU
rnacentral:ncRNA from 1 species